rnacentral:piRNA from 1 species
UCACUGUUGUCUCCAUUCCUUUUCGCU